GCCACGGUGGUCUAGCGGUUAGAACGCUGGGCUUGUAAUCCUGGGGUCUCGGGUUCGAUUCCCGGUGGUGCCC
rfam:Zootermopsis nevadensis contig19382, whole genome shotgun sequence.